rnacentral:rRNA from 1 species
AGAGUUUGAUCCUGGCUCAGGAUGAACGCUGGCGGCGUGCCUAAUACAUGCAAGUCGAACGCGAGCACUUGUGCUCGAGUGGCGAACGGGUGAGUAAUACAUAAGUAACCUGCCCUAGACAGGGGGAUAACUAUUGGAAACGAUAGCUAAGACCGCAUAGGUACGGACACUGCAUGGUGACCGUAUUAAAAGUGCCUCAAAGCACUGGUAGAGGAUGGACUUAUGGCGCAUUAGCUGGUUGGCGGGGUAACGGCCCACCAAGGCGACGAUGCGUAGCCGACCUGAGAGGGUGACCGGCCACACUGGGACUGAGACACGGCCCAGACUCCUACGGGAGGCAGCAGUAGGGAAUUUUCGGCAAUGGGGGAAACCCUGACCGAGCAACGCCGCGUGAAGGAAGAAGGUUUUCGGAUUGUAAACUUCUGUUAUAAAGGAAGAACGGCGGCUACAGGAAAUGGUAGCCGAGUGACGGUACUUUAUUAGAAAGCCACGGCUAACUACGUGCCAGCAGCCGCGGUAAUACGUAGGUGGCAAGCGUUAUCCGGAAUUAUUGGGCGUAAAGAGGGAGCAGGCGGCAGCAAGGGUCUGUGGUGAAAGCCUGAAGCUUAACUUCAGUAAGCCAUAGAAACCAGGCAGCUAGAGUGCAGGAGAGGAUCGUGGAAUUCCAUGUGUAGCGGUGAAAUGCGUAGAUAUAUGGAGGAACACCAGUGGCGAAGGCGACGAUCUGGCCUGCAACUGACGCUCAGUCCCGAAAGCGUGGGGAGCAAAUAGGAUUAGAUACCCUAGUAGUCCACGCCGUAAACGAUGAGUACUAAGUGUUGGAUGUCAAAGUUCAGUGCUGCAGUUAACGCAAUAAGUACUCCGCCUGAGUAGUACGUUCGCAAGAAUGAAACUCAAAGGAAUUGACGGGGGCCCGCACAAGCGGUGGAGCAUGUGGUUUAAUUCGAAGCAACGCGAAGAACCUUACCAAGUCUUGACAUCCCUAUGACCGGCACGUAACGGUGCCUUCUCUUCGGAGCAUCGGAGACAGGUGGUGCAUGGUUGUCGUCAGCUCGUGUCGUGAGAUGUUGGGUUAAGUCCCGCAACGAGCGCAACCCUUAUCGUUAGUUACCAUCAUUAAGUUGGGGACUCUAGCGAGACUGCCAGUGACAAGCUGGAGGAAGGCGGGGAUGACGUCAAAUCAUCAUGCCCCUUAUGACCUGGGCUACACACGUGCUACAAUGGAUGGUGCAGAGGGAAGCGAAGCCGCGAGGUGAAGCAAAACCCAUAAAACCAUUCUCAGUUCGGAUUGUAGUCUGCAACUCGACUACAUGAAGUUGGAAUCGCUAGUAAUCGCGAAUCAGCAUGUCGCGGUGAAUACGUUCUCGGGCCUUGUACACACCGCCCGUCACACCACGAGAGUUGAUAACACCCGAAGCCGGUGGCCUAACCGCAAGGAAGGAGCUGUCUAAGGUGGGAUUGAUGAUUGGGGUGAAGUCGUAACAAGGUAUCCCUACGGGAACGUGGGGAUG